rnacentral:rRNA from 1 species
UACAGAGGGGGCGAGCGUUAUUCGGAAUUAUUGGGCGUAAAGGGCGCGUAGGCGGCUUUGCAAGUGACGGGUGAAAUCCCUCGGCUUAACCGAGGAACUGCCUGUCAGACUGCAUGGCUUGAGACCGGGAGAGGUGAGUGGAAUUCCCAGUGUAGCGGUGAAAUGCGUAGAUAUUGGGAGGAACACCAGUGGCGAAGGCGGCUCACUGGACCGGUACUGACGCUGAGGCGCGAAAGCGUGGGGAGCAAAAGGG